UUUUCCAUGAAGAUGCUUCUGCCCUAUAAUGAGGGGAAGUUUCUGCCUGGGAUCCAAGAAUCUUCUGUUUUGCGAGCUCACUUCUUCCCCUUGCCAAAUACAACCUGGCGGAUGUUCAUUGCCUCAGGAACUGACUAAUGUACCAGAUGAAGAGUGCAUGUGACAGCAUGUCAGCUACAAGGAGAAGAAAAAUAGAAAAGGAAAUGAUUUG
rnacentral:lncRNA from 12 species